ACCCUGGUGGCUCAGUUGGUCAGAGCGCCUGAUUUUGUGCAUUUUGUUGAGAACAACAACAUCACAUAAGCAGGUUUUCACUGGUUCAAUUCCGGUCCAAGGCG